rnacentral:lncRNA from 10 species
GGGAGGCUCCCGAGGUGGGGACCCGGCCGGGAUGGCUGCAGCGGCGGCCGGGGCUGGGAGCGGGCCCUCGGCGGCCCAGGAGAAGCAGUUCCUGCCGGCGCUGCUGAGUUUCUUCAUCUACAACCCGCGCUUCUGGCCGCGGGAAGGAGAGGUUGUUCGGAAUCCUAUAAUUGAAAAACAGUAAAGAUGGAAAACCAGUUAUUGAAUAUCAAGAGGAGGAGUUGUUGGUAACGUGUCAUUGUUUAUUUAUUUAUUUAUUUAUUUAAAUGUAUUGCUG